rnacentral:lncRNA from 1 species
CUUACAACUGGAAGUUUAACCAACAUCUCUGCAUUUUCCCCUCCCCCAGGUUCUGGAAUCAACAAUCUACUCCUCAGUUUCUAUGAGUUCGGCUAUUUUAGAUUCCACAUACAAGUGAGAGCACGGUCCUUGAUUUGUAAAGGGGAAGAAUGACGAUACCUGCCUCUUGGCUUUUGGAUUGGUUGUG